UGCCAAACCAGCUGUGUUGAGGAAAAGCCACCUCCAGACAUGUAGAGAAGCUUUGGUAAAUGGAUGCCUGCACUUCAUACUUUGGACAUCCUGGAUUCUUCGACCCUUGGACUAUGUUGACCUUGAUUCUUAUUGUCUCCUUGAUUCAGACUGCUUGACUAACCCCUUUCCCAUAAUGGACUCCCACAGGAGCUUCUGAACCAAGAAAAAGAGCUGAAAAAUAGGAAUGGAGAAGAAUUUUGCUGGAAUUAAAGAAACCUUUUCACACCUCUUGAAAAUUAUUGCAAGAAAAAAACACACCUCACCUCAAGGAUUUAUACUUCUUCAAGGCUUAUUGAGCAUUUGGGGGGAAUAAAGUAAUCACAAAACUA